GACGAACGCUGGCGGCGUGCUUAACACAUGCAAGUCGAGCGGUAAGGCCCUUUCGGGGGUACACGAGCGGCGAACGGGUGAGUAACACGUGGGUGACCUGCCCUUAGCUCUGGGAUAAGCCUGGGAAACUGGGUCUAAUACCGGAUAUGACUCCAUGACGCAUGUUGUGGGGUGGAAAGCCUUGUGCGGCUAGGGAUGGGCCCGCGGCCUAUCAGCUUGUUGGUGGGGUGAUGGCCUACCAAGGCGACGACGGGUAGCCGGCCUGAGAGGGCGACCGGCCACACUGGGACUGAGACACGGCCCAGACUCCUACGGGAGGCAGCAGUGGGGAAUCUUGCGCAAUGGGCGAAAGCCUGACGCAGCGACGCCGCGUGAGGGAUGACGGCCUCGGUUGU
rnacentral:rRNA from 1 species